UAGAUUCAGGGCUGCCCAUAUAAACAGGGCAGUUCUGCUGCUGGGGGCCAGGCAACAGCAUUGCCUGGGCAGAGAACUGCUGAUAUCACCUGGAGGAGAUGUGAGCCACAUCAAAGGAGCAGAAGCCAACAUUGAUAGGCUGGGAGCAUCCUGCGAAUACCCUGCCAGAAAUAGUGGAACAGACACUCCAUUGGAGAGAGUCAAUUGCAGAAGGAAUGACUACAAAAGAAGAUAUCAUAGAUGCUGAGAAAAAAAAGAAAGAAGUAAGAAGACUCCAAUGAAAUGCACUGGGGACCAUACAAUCCAGAUCUAAUUUACCUGUGCAGUACAUAUCAAUUCUAGCUGUAAAGCAUUAUGGAAAACCCAAGGUUAGCUGUACUAUGAUAAGAUUCCUAAGAGGGUUUAUUUUUCUAAGCAUCAGGUUUGAAAUACUCUUCCAAACUACCAAUCUGAAAACUGAAAGCCCUUCCAUUUUCAGGGGAAAAAUACAGUCCAUGUAUUUACAGGUUUUUGCUUCAUGGUCAAACCUUCUGUUUUCUGUCCACUAAACUAUUACAAGGGACACUAGUUUGUUCACUAGUUACCCAGUGCCUCCGCAUUUUUUGUGAAUAAGCAGGAUUUUAUUUUAAGAGCUUUUAAAAUCAUCUGCUGUUAUUUUGAGCAGGAAUGCUUUGCUGAUGGCUGAAGACUUGAAAAGGUUUGUCUGAAACAUAGCCAAAUAUCUUGUAAACAAAGACAAAACACUGCUGUACCAUGGCUCUGGAUACUGAAAACAUUAAGUAUUAACUUAGUAACUCCCUGUUUGGAUCACUGAUGGGGAUACAAGUUAAGACCUCUAGCACCAAAGGACAGGCCUUCACAACUUGAGCUAGAAGUUUAUGGGACAGAUUUAGGCUUCAAAGGGUAUAGGUAGGAUCCAAAUAGGAUUCCCAAAGUGCGUAGGUGCUUAACUUACAAGGAUAAAAAAUAAAAUAAAAUCACCUAUCUGUAUCUUUAUGCACCUGAGCACCUCUAAAAGUAUGACCCUAGAAGCAUUUGCAGGAAUAGUCACUUGCAAGUACUUUUAUGCAUCAGCCAUUGAAUAGAAACACACAUUUCACCUGUGUGUUAAAAUAAAGGGCCUGAGUGUGCUCUUUCUCCCCCGUUUUUUGAAGAAACUGAAUUUUGUGUGUGCAUGCACAAAUAUGGGAAUGGAUAUAUCUGCAGCAGGGAGAAAAGUGCUCAGUCACAUUGGACGUCAACUGUGCAUGCUCGGUAGCCAUAUGGAUGCUUACGUACCUACACGACACAUGAAAAAGGAUCACAAACUGUGGCCAAGCACCAAAAGCAGCAGCAGUGCAAGUGGGUAGCUGCCAUUUGGUUACAUAAAGCAAAAAUGAGAUUCUUCCCCAAAACUCAGCUGAACUCAGUGUAAAACCUCUGAAAGCAUGCCAAAGGAGCACAGUGGAAAUAGCUCUUGCACUCGUUCACCAUUAAAUUAAAGGAAACAUUUAAUAAUAAGGUAAAAACAUGCACACAAACAAGCACUUUAUACUACUGAAAAUCCAUAACAAACAAGAAAACAAAUGAUCUAAACAACAUGUUUUAAAAGAGAGAAGAAGAAGAAGAGUCUUAGAGAAGGUUUGAUGGACAUUAAGGCAAACAUCUAUAAAUGUAAUUGUCUUUUGGGGGGUGGGGGGAGGAGAUGGCCCGAGUGGUCCCAGGAAAUUCUAGAAAGCAAUCAUGCUAGGGAGCAACAAUUACAGAACUGCAGGGUGGGCAGUGUGACAGCACAGGUAUCCCUUCAGAAAGCUACAUUUGGAGGAUUCUUUAAAUGAAGCCUAUACUGCUCAGCACUUCCAAAGUCAAACACAACGCCAGCUAAAAAAAAAAAAAAAAAAAAAAAUCAAUCCACCACUUUACUGGCUGGCUCUGUUUUCUUUACACUGGCUGCCUAUAAAUGAAGAAGCUAUCAGACUGCCUACAGGGUGCUUCAAGCUGCUGCUCCUGCUCAUCCCUCUGAAGCUAUUUUUAAAGUUAACUCCAUAGCAGGCUCCAUUUCAGAAAUAAUAAAACAUUCAUGGGGUGUUUUUGGAAUCAGCCUUGUGUGUGUGGCUUCAAGUUCUGGCAGCAAUGCCAAUGAUGCUGGAGAGUGGCUCUUACCUGUAAUGUCCUUCCGCAGCACUCAGUAUUGCCAAGAUGGAAGAUCAGCUGAGACCGCAGCAGGUAGCUAAAUAAAAGUGAAUUACACUUGUGCAUCAACACACAACUUUGUGCCAUUAGUCUGACACCUAAUCUACUAUGGUAAGCUGGAAGUAAUGCUUACUGUUAUUGCUAUCAGGUUUAGUUGCUCAGAAUUUUGGUCCCAGUGCAGGUCUUGCCAUUAGGUACACCGACCGACUCAUUGCUCUGCCCUCAAACUGAUAUCCAGUCCCUAUCCCUAGGGAAGCAUCCCUACCAAGUCUCAUAAUAAAACACGGAGAGCAGUAAGGCAGUUGGCAGCAGCAGGAGUACAAUCAAAGCUAGUCAGGCAAAUAAGCAACACCACCCCAAAGUCACCAAAGGCUCAGGGAGCACAUCACACCAUGUGUCUCUGUCAGGGGCUCCGCUAUUUGAAAUGUCACUGACUUGGACGAGUCUCUCUUAUCUGAGUGGCUGUAUAGCUUUCUUGAAACGUACACAUGAACUGUCAAACUUUACAGGAGAAAUAGUGCUGGCUUUGCAAGCAGAUGCUGGUCAUGGAUGAUGAAACAUUGGCAAGGAUAAAGAGGUGACUCUGGAAAUCUACAUCCUCAGCCCUGCUGCUGCAGG